ACCGAGGGGUAUGCCGCCGCUCGACUCCCUAUUCUUAUCGAAGUCGAGAGGAAAGUCCGGACUCUUUAAGGCAGCGAUCCACUGGAAACAGUGGGCUUGAAUAGGCGCAAGCCUUUCAAGACGGAGAGUGUCACAGAAAAUAUACCGCUCAACAAUCUUUGUUGAGUAAGGGUGAAAAGGCGGGGUAAAAGCCCACCGCAUGAAUGGUAACAUUCAUGGCAGGAAAAACCCAUCGCAGAGCAAGGCCAAGCGGGGACAAGGGUCGCCUUACCCAUCUCAAAUAGCCUUGAGAAGUCCCAGGUAGGCCGCACCGCUUGCCUAAGCGGAUCUCUGAAUAUAAAGAGAUAGACAGAUGGCGGCAGGUCCUAUGUUGGAUCACAGAAUCCGGCUUAUUCCCCUCGGUGCCU
rfam:Methylacidiphilum infernorum V4, complete genome.